AAAUUUUGAAAUUUCAGUCCCUCUUUCUUUCACUCCUCUCCAAAUUUUCAAAUUUCAUUCCUUCGUCUUCAAAUUUUCAAACUUCUUUCCCUUUUCUCCAUCUCUGACAUAUCACUUUUUCAUCUCCUCCAAAUUUACAAUCACUCCUUCUCUUUUUUUUCUCCAUCACCACUAUAUUCUCCAUCUCCUCAUAUCUCUUCUUUAUCUCCUCCAAAUUUUUAAUCCCCUUCUUUAUCUCCUCUAAAAUUUUAAAAAAAAAGAAUCAAAGAAAAAAAAGAAAAAUCAAAGAAAAAAAUUAAAGAAUCAAAGAAGAAAA
rnacentral:lncRNA from 1 species